GACGAACGCUGGCGGCGUGCUUAACACAUGCAAGUCGAACGGAAAGGCCCUGCUUUUGUGGGGUGCUCGAGUGGCGAACGGGUGAGUAACACGUGAGUAACCUGCCCCUGACUUUGGGAUAACUUCAGGAAACUGGGGCUAAUACCGGAUAGGAGCUCCUGCUGCAUGGUGGGGGUUGGAAAGUUUCGGCGGUUGGGGAUGGACUCGCGGCUUAUCAGCUUGUUGGUGGGGUAGUGGCUUACCAAGGCUUUGACGGGUAGCCGGCCUGAGAGGGUGACCGGCCACAUUGGGACUGAGAUACGGCCCAGACUCCUACGGGAGGCAGCAGGGGGGAAUAUUGCACAAUGGGCGGAAGCCUGAUGCAGCAACGCCGCGUGCGGGAUGCCGGCCUUCGGGUUGUAAACCGCUUUCGCCUGUGACGAAGCGUGAGUGACGGUAAUGGGUAAAGAAGCACCGGCUAACUACGUG
rnacentral:rRNA from 1 species